CGGUGGCGUCGGCAUAGAAACCUCACAGGGAUAAAGAGAGAAAGUUCAGUGUGUUAUAGUGGGCUGGUGUUAAAGGGAUAUUAAUCCAGAAGUGACAACAGGUUGAGGAAAAGCCCGGAGUGCUUGCGGAUGAGGUUGUAGGCCUGGCAACACAAGUCUACAAACAGCUGGAAGCGGCUGGUGGGACGCUCGCCUCCAUUAAUGACGUACGCCAUGUCAGAGGUCAGAACGAACGGAGCGCGGUCCCUGAUGGAAGAAAAGGAGAGAAAAUUUACCAUCAGCCUCUGAAGAGGGGUUGUACUUGCGGAGCCACUCAGCCAGCGGUUUGUCCUUGAAGGAUCCGGUGACGCCGUACUCCACCUGGAUCUUUCUCAGUGUGUCGG